UCACAGAUGCCUCAGAGGUGACGAGAGACGAAUAUAUUAUUUUCCCACAGCCAUGUUUUAUAGGAGUUCCACUUGCUUAGCUAAGGGUAACUGUGGUGAGAAUGUUAUCAGUUGAUCUGUAAUGUUAGAUGUCCGUGUGGAAUGUACGACAAACACAAUUUCUCAUGAAUUAUACAUAAUAAUGAAAAUGAUACUUAAUGGAAGGCUGGAAAGAGGGCAGGUAUUUCCAUCACCUAGGGGGGAACGACCUGCAAAUUAACAACAAGACGGUUCAUUGAAGCAGUCCGGAUUGAUCGAGGACGUCACUGCUAUGCGGUUCACUGCGGCUACAACAGACUUUCAGAUUUGCGUGUCAACUACCGGAAGUUAGGCGCAUCACGUGACAUAAACUUCCGCCCGGGACGUUCUGUGUGCGGCGGGGAAGGGAGACGUGCAGUCUCCAAGGAGACCAAUACAAACAGGAAGGAGAGAUGCCUUGGGUGAAAAGAUAUAUGGUCACAUGAUGGAUGGAUUAUAUAAAAACCACGGACACUGUUAUCCUGGAUGAGGGACGUUUAUCUGUUGUAAAAAGUUACCCCAGUGAUCCAGUAUGGACUUUAUAUUUAACCAAUUAAAUGGGAGUUUAUAUUUAUAGGAAAACGUUUAGGUAUAUAUGAUGUAUAGACAGAAUAAUAUAGUGAUAUGUACAUAUAAGAUAUUGUAGGAUGAUUUUUAGAUCAAUUUACAUGUAUUAUAUAUGUUUUUAGGAGUAGUGGAACCUGAUUGGCUGAGGUCGACAUGUGGCACAGUCUGAGGGGUAUAAAGAGACCAGAGGGGGGUCACUUCCACUAUAUACCCUGAGGAAGGAUUUUUAUCCGAAACGCGUUGGUGCUGUCACAGGAGGACCCCGGGCUUGACUACACCACAGUAGUUGGUACUAUUCUUUGGGUAUUGUUUAUUCCAACCCCAUAUUGGCUGGUAAUAUUUCCCAAUUCCAUCUAACGGGUACCAGUGGAAGUGGCCUCGCUAUCUCUGCCAUAGGGUACCUCCUGUGUUUAUUUUUUAUAUUUCUUAUUGUUUU